rnacentral:rRNA from 1 species
CGAGUCUUAACUGGGCGAAUGAGUUGCAGGGUAUAGACCCGAAACCCGGUGAUCUAGCCAUGGGCAGGUUGAAGGUUGGGUAACACUAACUGGAGGACCGAACCGACUAAUGUUGAAAAAUUAGCGGAUGACUUGUGGCUGGGGGUGAAAGGCCAAUCAAACCGGGAGAUAGCUGGUUCUCCCCGAAAGCUAUUUAGGUAGCGCCUCGUGAACUCAUCUUCGGGGGUAGAGCACUGUUUCGACUAGGGGGUCAUCCCGACUUACCAACUCGAUGCAAACUACGAAUACCGAAGAAUGUUAUCACGGGAGACACACGGCGGGUGCUAACGUUCGUCGUGAAGAGGGAAACAACCCAGACCGCCAGCUAAGGUCCCAAAGUCAUAGUUAAGUGGGAAACGAAGUGGGAAGGCUCAGACAGCCAGGAUGUUGGCUUAGAAGCAGCCAUCAUUUAAAGAAAGCGUAAUAGCUCACUGGUCGAGUCGGCCUGCGCGGAAGAUGUAACGGGGCUAAACUAUGCACCGAAGCUGCGGCAGCGAUAUGUAAAUAUUGUUGGGUAGGGGAGCGUUCUGU